rnacentral:rRNA from 1 species
AGAGCGAACGCUGGCGGCAGGCCUAAUACAUGCAAGUCGAACGGAUCCUUCGGGAUUAGUGGCGGACGGGUGAGUAACACGUGGGAACGUACCCUUUGGUUCGGAACAACUCAGGGAAACUUGAGCUAAUACCGAAUGUGCCCUUCGGGGAAAAGAUUUAUCGCCAUUGGAGCGGCCCGCGUCUGAUUAGCUAGUUGGUAGGGUAAAGGCCUACCAAGGCUACGAUCAGUAGCUGGUCUGAGAGGAUGAUCAGCCACACUGGGACUGAGACACGGCCCAGACUCCUACGGGAGGCAGCAGUAGGGAAUCUUGCGCAAUGGGCGAAAGCCUGACGCAGCCAUGCCGCGUGAAUGAUGAAGGUCUUAGGAUUGUAAAAUUCUUUCAGCGGGGACGAUAAUGACGGUACCGCAGAAGAAGCCCCGGCUAACUUCGUGCCAGCAGCCGC